rnacentral:lncRNA from 1 species
ACAAAUAAAUUCUCAAAAUAGAUAAUAUAAACUAGGUAAGCAUUUUUUUUCAAACAUCACCCAAGCGGAUCAGACCCAAGACUGUCACAGAGAACAAAAUGAUAACAUGUAUAGAUCUGAUAGAAGUUACUAUGGCAAGGGUUUGAACCCUCGGCCUCUGGGAAAAGGACUAACUACACACUACCGGGCUAGCUAGUUAGGUAUUAAACUAGGUAAGUUUGAACAUUUUUUAUGUAUGAAAGCCUUUUUACACUUUUCCCACAGGUGUGAUUCAGCAAAUAACCACAUGCUUUGUUAGCUAAGACCUUGCAGGAUUGGCUUUUGGGUAAUAUAAUGGGGAUUGUUAUGAUUAAGUUUAGAACUUUCAAGUUAUGUACCACCAUCAUUUUCUGAUCCAGUUAAACA